CUUGACCAGAGAUGGGAGCAGCGACUUCUAGACUGUGGAGGUCUAGGAGACAUCUGCAGCAGGAUCAGUCCUAGAUGGCUGCUGAUGCCUCAAACUGAAUCUCGGGUGUGACCUGUGAAGUCAAAGGUGGCUGGCAAUGACCACUGAGUCUACAUUCAGAGAGUCAAGGCACGGAGGUGCAGAGGAGUCAGUUAAGAAAACAAUGCUCUGCCCCCUUGGAAAGAGUAAGCUGCAUCCACCCAAGAGUGCACUAAUCGCUGCAGCUCAAGAGACUGUAAAUCCUCCCCAGCUGACUCCCCAGAGCUGGACAGAGCCAGCACCUGGGAAACUCGGCUGGAUGGGCCCUGGGCCAGUGCUGUUUCUGAUCGUCCAACAAUUCUGCAGAAUGGUGAGUGUGGGUUGGGCAGUCAGGCCUUGAGGUCUGGGUGGGUCACAUCCAGGCUAUCUUGAGCCAUCUCGGGCCAGUUACCCCUCUGCUUUGUGCUUCAGGGUCUGUAUAGGCAAAAUGGGGAUAAAGAUGAUCCCACUUCACAACUCAGGGUGCUCCCUGCACUGGAACAGGGGCAGAAGAGAAGCAGGAGGAGGAGGCAUGGAGCCCUUGCUGGCAGGGGCACCUUCUGUGGCACACUCCUUCACCCCUCUUGCCUCUGUUGCGGCACACAGCCAGAGUCUCCUGGGUCCUGCAGAAGGAGGAUUCCUGGGCCCACUCCUAAGGUCUCUGCUUUCUCCCUGCGGCCAGCGGAUCUUCAGACUCCAGGACCAACACUGAGGGCAGUAGUGAGCAGUCAGUGCCCGGCUCAAGGGCUCAGGAAAUGGUCUUUAUUAUUAUCCUCCUUUUACAGAUUGUGAGACCAAGGCUCAGGGAUGUGUUCAGUGAGUGACUGAACUAGAUUUGAACCCAAGACUGACAGGCUGUAAGGUCAGUGUGGAGGUGUGUGUUUAUAUUAGGCUAAAAGACACUGGCCCUGGGAUGCCUGGGUGGGUCAGUGGUUGAGCAUCUGCCUUUGGCUCAGGUUGUGAUCUCGGGUUCCUGGGAUCGAGUCCCAUGUUGGGCUCCCUGCGAGAGCCUACUUCUCCCUCUACCUAUGUCUCUGCCUCUCUCUCUGUCUCUCAUGAAUAAAUAAAUUAAAAAUCUUGGAAAAAAAUAAGAC
rnacentral:lncRNA from 1 species